rnacentral:lncRNA from 1 species
AAUAAAAAUGACCAAAAUAGCAUUUAAUGUUUUAUCAAAAGAGAUAAAUAUACACUUAUAUGGUAAAUUAAUCUAGAUAUUAGGGUUUAGAGUUAAGGGGUGGAGUUUAGGAUUUAGGGUUUAGGGUUUAGGGUUUAGGGUUUAGAGUUUAGGUUUUAGGAUUUAGAGUUUAGGAGUAGGGUUUAGGAUUUAGAGUUUAGGGUUAAAGGGUGGGGUUUAGGAUUUAGGGUUUAGGGUUUAAAGUUAAGGGUUUAGGGUUUAGUGUUUAGGGGUGGGGUUUAGGGUUUAGUGUUUAGAGUUAAGGGGUGAGGUUUAGGAUUUAGGGUUUAGGAUUUAGGGUUUAGGAUUUAGAGUUUAGGUUUUCGGGUUUAGAGUUGGGGAGUGGGGAUUUGGGAUAAAAUUUCAAAUUUUGAAAAAUAAAAAAAUUAAAUUUUUCAAAAGAGAAAAUGCUAUUUUGUCAUUUUAGUUUUUGAGGGCUAUUUUUGUGACAUAAACUUAGAAUUGUGCUAUUUUGGAGAUUUGCCCAAUUUGUUUUAGUUAUGUUCUGUUUGUUUUGGCAUAAAACUAAUUCUACCAUUCCGUUUCGGUUUAGUUUUGUUUGAGGAAUUUUGGUUUUUUUUUUGUUCUCAG